GACUAGGUAACAUAAUGGAAAUGUAUCUGACUGUAAAUCCUAAAAUGACGAUUCAACCCCAUCCUUGGCCU
rfam:Nicotiana sylvestris Nsyl_contig151960, whole genome shotgun sequence.